CAUUACAAUACCAAAACAGUACAUAUCCCCUGUACAACGUCUUCAGCUUCAACUUCCCUCUCCACUGUGCGAUUUCAGCAGUCCGUUUCCAGCCAUCAAGCACGCGUUUUCGUCCUUGCCAACGUGAGAUCGCUCCACGUGGCAUCUCAAGGACAUUAGAGUCGACUUGAGACGUCGAUUCGGCCUUUCCCCUUCCGGAAUAGGGCAAAAAUUUCAGAAAAAGCAUGCCUCCCUUCAAUGGUGAAAGGUUUUGAAAUUUGAAUUUCGAAUGGAACCGAUUCUCAUCCGGAUUCCAUCCGAUUCCCCCCAAAAUAUGCCCUAAUAAUCCCUUAUAUAUAUUCUCUUCUUAGUCACUGUUUGGGGGGCGAAGGAGAAGAAUAUACAACUGUUCAUCAGAAAAUAAUUUUUGCUAGAGAAAUUAAAAGCUAUCCGAAUCCCAGACAUUUUGGGAACUAAAAAUCACUGUUCGUAUUGUUCUUGUUUCGUUUCCGGCGAAGUUAAGCUCGUAGUCGUGGUGGGAGUUGUGCUCUUCUCGUCUGUCCCAGAUUUGCUGCACUACAAGAGAGUCUAAAUCGGACUCCUUUCAUCAUCUCCUUGCAUUUUCGAGUAUUGAGUCAGCCUUUGGUGUUCGAGGGUGAAAGGGAAAUUGAUAUACAGGUUCCGGAAGCAGAAGCAGGUCCUGAAAAGCUGAAAACAAGCUGAUGUACAGCCCGUAUACACUGAUAUAUGGGUUGAAUGCAGCAAAUACAGGCCCUAAACCAAUUUAUAGGGGUUCAAAAGCUAAUUUAGGUUGUAUACAUUUGGUAUAUAGCCUAAUAUACA